AAUCAGUGUUACGGGCACUUUCUCAGUAGCUCCUUGAACCUUUCCCACAUCUCAAAUAGGGACUCCAAUUCUGACUCUACAAAGGACGAGAUUUCAUUCCUAAGCUU